GAUGAACGCUGGCGGCGUGCUUAACACAUGCAAGUCGAACGGAAAGGCUCCUGCUUGCAGGGGUACUCGAGUGGCGAACGGGUGAGUAACACGUGGGUGAUCUGCCCUGCACUUCGGUAUAAGCCUGGGAAACUGGGUCUAAUACCGGAUAGGACGAUGGUUUGUAUGCCAUUGUGGAAAGUUUUUCGGUUUGGGAUGAGCUCGCGGCCUAUCAGCUUGUUGGUGGGGUAAUGGCCUACCAAGGCGUCGACGGGUAGCCGGCCUGAGAGGGUGUACGGCCACAUUGGGACUGAGAUACGGCCCAGACUCCUACGGGAGGCAGCAGUGGGGAAUAUUGCACAAUGGGCGCAAGCCUGAUGCAGCGACGCCGCGUGGGGGAUGACGGCCUUCGGGUUGUAAACUCCUUUCGCUAGGGACGAAGCGCAAGUGACGGUACCUGGAGAAGAAGCACCGGCUAACUACGUG
rnacentral:rRNA from 1 species